CUGAUGCAAUGAUGAUCGCAUAGUUCAGCAGAUUACACCGUGAAGAAUAACUAUCGUCUUUCGCUCCUAGCUGAUGUGUCGG